rnacentral:rRNA from 1 species
AGAGUUUGAUCCUGGCUCAGAUUGAACGCUGGCGGAAUGCUUUACACAUGCAAGUCGAACGGCAGCACGGGUGCUUGCACCUGGUGGCGAGUGGCGAACGGGUGAGUAAUACGUAGGAACAUGUCCUGUAAUGGGGGAUAACGCACCGAAAGGUGUGCUAAUACCGCAUACGCCCUGAGGGGGAAAGCGGGGGAUUCGAAAGAACCUCGCGUUAUAGGAGUGGCCUACGGCUGAUUAGCUAGUUGGUGAGGUAAAGGCUCACCAAGGCGACGAUCAGUAGCUGGUCUGAGAGGAUGAUCAGCCACACUGGAACUGAGACACGGUCCAGACUCCUACGGGAGGCAGCAGUGGGGAAUUUUGGACAAUGGGGGCAACCCUGAUCCAGCCAUUCCGCGUGAGUGAAGAAGGCCUUCGGGUUGUAAAGCUCUUUCAGGAGGGAAGAAACGGUUUUGGUUAAUACCUGAGACUAAUGACGGUACCUUCAGAAGAAGCACCGGCUAACUACGUGCCAGCAGCCGCGGUAAUAC